AACGAACGCUGGCGGCAGGCCUAACACAUGCAAGUCGAGCGCCCCAGCGAUGGGGAGCGGCGGACGGGUGAGUAACGCGUGGGAACGUGCCCCUUUCUGCGGAAUAGCCUCGGGAAACUGGGAGUAAUACCGCAUAAGCCCUACGGGGGAAAGAUUUAUCGGGAAGGGAUCGGCCCGCGUUGGAUUAGGUAGUUGGUGGGGUAAUGGCCUACCAAGCCGACGAUCCAUAGCUGGUUUGAGAGGAUGAUCAGCCACACUGGGACUGAGACACGGCCCAGACUCCUACGGGAGGCAGCAGUGGGGAAUCUUAGACAAUGGGCGCAAGCCUGAUCUAGCCAUGCCGCGUGAGCGAUGAAGGCCUUAGGGUUGUAAAGCUCUUUCAGGGGGAAGAUAAUGACUGUACCCCCAGAAGAAGCCCCGGCUAACUCCGUG
rnacentral:rRNA from 1 species